rnacentral:rRNA from 1 species
GAGUUUGAUCCUGGCUCAGAACGAACGCUGGCGGCAUGCCUAACACAUGCAAGUCGAACGAAGGCUUCGGCCUUAGUGGCGCACGGGUGCGUAACGCGUGGGAAUCUGCCCUCAGGUACGGAAUAACUCAGGGAAACUUGAGCUAAUACCGUAUAAUGACUUCGGUCCAAAGAUUUAUCGCCUGAGGAUGAGCCCGCGUAGGAUUAGCUUGUUGGUGAGGUAAAGGCUCACCAAGGCGACGAUCCUUAGCUGGUCUGAGAGGAUGAUCAGCCACACUGGGACUGAGACACGGCCCAGACUCCUACGGGAGGCAGCAGUGGGGAAUAUUGGACAAUGGGCGCAAGCCUGAUCCAGCAAUGCCGCGUGAGUGAUGAAGGCCUUAGGGUUGUAAAGCUCUUUUACCCGGGAUGAUAAUGACAGUACCGGGAGAAUAAGCCCCGGCUAACUCCGUG